UACAGAGGUCUCAAGCGUUGUUCGGAUUCAUUGGGCGUAAAGGGUGCGUAGGCGGCGCGGUAAGUCGGGUGUGAAAUCUCGGAGCUUAACUCCGAAACUGCAUUCGAUACUGCCGUGCUUGAGGACUGGAGAGGAGACUGGAAUUUACGGUGUAGCGGUGAAAUGCGUAGAUAUCGUAAGGAAGACCAGUGGCGAAGGCGGGGUCUCUGGACAGUUCCUGACGCUGAGGCACGAAGGUCAGGGGAGCAAAGCGGG
rnacentral:rRNA from 1 species